UUUCACACCUUGAGAACGGGCAACUCAUCCUGAAGAGAGGGCGGUACUUAUGAAGGCGAACACGACGCGAAUAGCAUUGUCUAUAAAUGGAGCAUUGAUAAUAUCCACCUUAAGAUGGGUGGGACAGAAUUUUUUUUGGUAAACCAUUCUUCUACUCAGGUUUGCUAGUAUGAAUGGAUUAAAUACCACUGAAUGAAAGGUACUCGUACUACUUCAAGACAAAAGGCCACUUCCAUGUUGCAGCUCUUUGCUCACCAACGCUGAAAUCUGUGAAAGAGCGUGUUUUCCAUUGAUCAGCACCAUACAUUAUGAGCCUUAGCAGACGGGUGGAAUUCGGGAGAAUGGUGCCAUUUAGAGACCACCAACCCUGUCAGCACCAACCAAUAUGGCUUCACUCACUAUGCAUGGAAUGGACGGAGAGGUAGAAGUGGUUUUACUCUUCAAUCUGGGUGGUGGUUGGGCCGAAUGCAAGGGAGGCGGGUUGAAGCGAUCAUCGCCUUUGUCAUCAUCAUCAUCAUCAAGAUCGCCGGCAUUGCUGCUUUCGACGGGAAGUGCCUUGAAGCAAAUUUAACUGGGCAAGCCAGUUGGCCGGGCACUCAGUGUAAUGUGGCCGGUGGUGAAUACCUACUUAUACCUCCAGUACGCAACGUCUAACCUGAUGAUCACUUCAAGCUGGAUCAUUUCAUUAAAGCAGCCAACUACCGAGCCAAGAGUUCUUGGUUUCUUGGUGGCCAUAAAACCAAGCUCGAGCUGUUUGAACUAAUGUCCAACCACGAAUGGAUGCAUCUCAAGCGAGCUGGUUCUCUAAUUUAGGAGGUGGAAAGUAGGUUUGAUUUGAACGAAUCUGAGAAAUGUUGGUUGGCAGGGUGUUUGGAAUGGCUCUCGGAAAAUCAGACAAUGACGAGUAGUCAACGAACCCACAAACCAACGAGCGGAUGGAUGAGGCGUGUGGAGGCAAAAAGUGGCGGAGAUAUUUGUUAAAGAGAUGAGCCAUCAUGAUCAUCACGUUAUGUACCUGACAGGAAGACGCCUUACCACUCACUCGCUCCACCACAUCACACCACAAUCCAGUACAUAACCUUCAUACCAUACAGUAGUAAUACAGUGCGCCGUUCAUUCAAAGCUUGUUUAGUAUCGUGCCUCAACUCUUUAUUCCGCCGCUCAAUUUGGGCAGGAACGACAGUUUGUGGAAUAUCGUUGAACCAGCUUACCAAAUAGACCUGUAUAGGGUGAUUUCAGUGACACUGCGGACCCAUGUUGUACAGGGAACUGCCGAGACGAUUUCCUGAACAAGAUUGAGCCCCGGGAUUUUCCCCUUUCUUAUCUUGACACCUUUGAUUAAUGAUAGGUCAGCCGAGCACUGCCUGAUAGAGAGAGAGAGAGAGAAAGAAAAAAAGCUCUGGGAAAUCUGACAUUUCCUCAACAAUUGUG